rnacentral:ncRNA from 10 species
AUCGUUGGACUAUUAAGUCGGAAGUAGGCAUAAGCCGAAGCAACGCACC